CAGCAGUGUCGUUUGGCAACAGGGAAAGAAGUGGGGGCGGGGUACCUCAUUAUGUAAGCUGCAGGAUUGGCAAAGGGGGCAAGCCUUCCUGAGUGGAGUGUCCCAGGGGUGGCUUCCAUAUUGUGGAUCUUCCUAGGUAGGCCUCCUUGAGUCCUGGUCCCAAGCCACCUCUCACUCUUAGCCACGGCCUAGAGUGACAUUCAUGUGCCCUUCACGUACUACCAGCACUUGGCUGUGUUAUACUUCAGGACAGAGAAGUUGGGCAUUCAGAAUGCCUGGCAGCAGCGCUACAGUGGGUUGGCAUAGGGGCUGGUCCUGAUAAGCCAUGGGACCAGACACAGGCCCCUCCCCAGAGCAGUGGCCCCAGCCUGGGUGGGAGUACCGCCCGGGUUCACAUCUCAUCACUUGCUCACUCACAGAGAAAGAAACUUUGUUUCUCAAUGUGUCUUCUUAGGACUUCCAGAGUCUGGAGCAGGGGGCCCAGACUCCACAAACCCUACCCCAUCUUUGUCCCUGCCCAUCUGUGCUCAAGACCUUCCUUGCCUGCCCUCAGUCCACACCCCAUAGAUGUUUCCUGAAGGUGCACAGAAGAUGCAUUGGCUGGCACCCCAGCUAGGGUGCCCUGCUGCCUACAUCAGGGACCCUUUAAAAGGUGGGAGCUGGCAUCCCACACCAGACUGGUCACAUAAACCCAGAGUCACCCUACAGACUGCAAACCAGGAUGGAAGUCCCAGAGGACAGACACCCUUUGACUGUCUAGGCCAGGUGAGAGGAGAGAAUGUCCAGGUUAGCACAGGCAGGAGACUAUCAUUAGCUGAGGUGGAGGACUAAGGGAAGAGGCAAAGGUGUGCAUGAGACCUGCUUUCUCAACAGAUCGGUAUACUGGUGCGCUGGCAUAGGUGAGUACCCUUGGAGAUCCCUCCCAAAGCCCCACCCCAACCUCAACUGCAACAGGGGUGGUCUCUGGUAUGGAGAAGGCAGGGAAGCCUGGUCACCACAGCUCCAAGCAGUUCCCCUAACCCACUACACCCUCACCCCCACUUUAGCAAUGCUUGGGGACUGGCUACACCUGCUCCUUGUUUUGCAGUGACGGAUCCAGACAUCCAGAGCCCAGUUGGGAUUGUGCUGCCUAUGUGCUGGAUCUUCACCCGAAGAGCUCCUGGUUUCUCUGUACAGCUCCCCAAGCUGACAGAAGCAGUAUUUGACAGGGAAAGGCAGAGAGUGGGUGGUAGGUGUCAGGGACUCCAACCACAUGAGCUGAGUCCCUCAGGACAGUACCUGCAGGGCUGGGUGCAGUUAUGCACCCUGGGUGCUGGGUAAGGGCGGGACCUUGGUUCUGCAGGAGGAAGACCCAAAUGUGCCUGAGGGUCCUUCUUGGAUCCUGUAGACCCCAGCAGCCCAUUUGAGAGUAAAGUGCUGCUGGCUUAGCUGCCCAGAAGCUCCUGGCUUGGGACAGCAAUUACACGUGGCAAGCCAUACCCCACCCUGCCCUGUGUGUGCCCUGGGCCCUGGGAGCCACUGCAGACAGGUUCAGCCUGCAAGUAUCUCAAAAUAUAAGGCCGUUGAGAUGUCUCAGAAGGUAAAGGUACUUGCUGCUAAGUCUUAUGACCUGAGUUUGAUUCCUGGGACCCAAGGGUGGAGGAAGAAAGCCAAGUCAUACAAGUUGCUCUCUGGCCUCCACAUUUGCUCCGUGGCACACACUCAAAUCCAUAAUGUAAAAAAUAAUAAUAAGGGCAAUGAUUGAGGAAGACAGCAAAUAUUGACCUCUGACCUCGGCUUGCAUGUGUGCGCAUGUGCACUUUCACAUACAUGUGCACACUUGAAUAUGUACAACACACACAAAAAGGUAAGAGUACUACUGCUGUGUUUGCACAGGACAGUGUAGUCUUGCUCAUUUAAUCUUGUGUGUGUGUGUGUGCGUGCGUGUGUGUGUGUGUGUGUGUGUAUAUAUGUGUAUGUGUGCUGGGGCCCUGCUGUCUAUCCCAGCCGACCAGGUCCCUGAGAUCCUUUGGCUUCAGCCUUCCUAACUGGCUUUACAAGUGUGUUCCACUGUGCCCAGCAGCACCAUUGUCUUGAAAAGACAAGACUGUCCUGAAAUUUUUGAGAGUAAAGUUCAAUGUUGUCUGUAAUGUAACUUUAAUAAAAUUAAAUUAAAUUUAAAAAAUA